rnacentral:tRNA from 1 species
GGCGCCGUGGCGCAGUGGUUAGCGUGUCUGCCUGUAACACAGAGGUAAUGGGUUCAGGCCUCGUCGCUGCUA